ensembl:lncRNA
CUUUUAUUUUCUGUCUUCUUUGCCUUCAAGUGUCAAUUGGCUCCUCUCAGUCACAGCUGUACAAAUCACAGGAUUUUUUUUUUUAUUGGCAUAAGACAUAUGCAUUAUUCAUCUAUUCAGUUUCAUCUGAAGGAAAUCCAAAAAAGACACAACUUUACCUUCCAAAGAAAUAUUUAAAGCUGCUUUUUCCCUGCGAGAAAGUAGGCAGAAAACUUCAUCCAUGAUCUACGUCCCCAUGUUCAACCCAGCUCUCCAUGAUGGGAGAAUUAAGUCCUUGACAGCAACCAUCAACCACUAAUGAAAAGAGCAAAAACAGAAGAUGUGAGAUCCAAGCUCUCUCUCAGAAGAUAAAAGUUACCUUAUAAAAGAGACAGUCGUGGUUUUAUAAGCAAAACAGGACUUUCUCAACAUCUCACAGCCAUCUCAUUAGCCAAUGCUCUCUCAUCACGAGUGAUCGUGGUUAUUUAGCGUCAGAAGCAAAAUAUGGGAGAUCUGUCUGCAGGCAAGUGGAGACAAGGCAUAAGAAAGGAAGAGCUAGGUGUGUGAGGAAAAUGCUGAAGUGGACAUACUUUAGUGCCUGAUUCAUAAGGACGAAAAGGCAUCGACUCGAGCAGAGAUGUAACCCCUUCUGGGUGGGAUGCCCAAUUCCCAGGAAUCCUGUUACCAGAAGCAGCAGAGGAAAAGGGACCCUAGGAGAUCAUCAGCUGGAAGACUGCAGGAUUACAGCUGCCUCAGUCCGGAUCCCAACGGCACAACUACUUCCAAAACUGUCUCCCGGUGAGGCAGCUAAGAUGCGGAGAGAAGAAAUGGGGAGUCAGGAGCUCCAGCCCUGUGUGUCCAGGGUACGUAUGUAAAAAGGCAACCUAAAUUCAGAUUUAAAGCUUCUUGUUGCCCAGGAUGUGCUGGACGCAGACAUCAAGCAUGGGAGGUAGAUAUCCUCCCUGCUUUUCAGAUGAGGAAACUGCCCAUCAGAAAGUCAAGCGACGCCCCGUGCACGCCUGGUUGGUGCCGGAGGCAGGAUGGAAAGCCUGGUCCUGCUGACUCCAGGACCUUCCUCUCCCCACAGGGGCUUGUAACAUGCCCCAAAAUCAACAAAUAAGCCAAAAAUAAAUCCAAUCUCAAAGCAAAAAUAGUCUUUCUUUUUCUAGUUUCCUCCAGUUGUGAAAGAAAAACAAGACUUUGGAGUUCCAUUUAUAAGGAUAAAAUUUCCUGUGAUUUGUGAAAAUGGUAAAAGUAUAUACAGCUGUAUAAGGUCUCACCGUGGCACCUGAGUCCGGCAUGUUUCCUUACUUGAUAUACACGUCUUCCUUUGUCCUGCACUUCACAUUUGAUCUACAAGACGUAAAUUCUUCGAGGGAUAAAAGACUUGGUGAGCACAGAAUCAAAAACCAAUAAAGGGAUUUUUUUGUUUUUUUUUUAAAUGUUCUUGCUAACAUAGAAAGGCUUACAGGUAGACCACUCAACCUAACAUGAUGCCCUGUGAGGUGUCGGGUAUAAGGUGAGCAAGUGGGCUCUGUGAAAACAACUCCAAGAUGCAGAGGAAAAGAACUCUGGAGUGAGGUGCUGUGAACAACGCUCUUAGCAAACAGAAUUAUUUUUGAUGUUGUUUCCACCUGGCUGAUGAUUGUUUUAGAGCAAGUCUCCUGUCACGGCCUGGCAUUGGAUCUGCAGAAUUCCUUAACAGACACUGGGCCGGCAGGCAGGAAGACAUCACACGCCCGGCGAAGAUACAAAACGUCCGGGGCAUUGCCAUGACUCUCAAGGUGUUGUUUAGAGUUCAUGUGAGUACUUCUAAAAAUACGAUGGGAUGGCCUUUCCGAGCUUGUUUCCUUUAGAUGCUAGACCAUCAAUCAACAGACGAGAAACAGCUAUUAGAAGAUAAGUUUGAGAAAAAUGUACAAUAUUUAAUCAGUCCUUACUGUGUGGUUUUUCUGUGCUGAAUCUCCCAUUCAACAUUCAGCCCCAAAUUCUAC